rnacentral:rRNA from 1 species
GAUGAACGCUGGCGGCGUGCCUAAUACAUGCAAGUCGAGCGAACGGACGAGAAGCUUGCUUCUCUGAUGUUAGCGGCGGACGGGUGAGUAACACGUGGAUAACCUACCUAUAAGACUGGGAUAAAUUCGGGAAACCGGAGCUAAUACCGGAUAAUAUUUUGAACCGCAUGGUUCAAAAGUGAAAGACGGUCUUGCUGUCACUUAUAGAUGUAUCCGCGCUGCAUUAGCUAGUUGGUAAGGUAACGGCUUACCAAGGCAACGAUGCAUAGCCGACGUGAGAGGGUGAGCGUCGACAGUGGAACUGGGACACGGUCCAGACCCCUACGGGAGGCAGCGGUAGGGGUGCUGCAGAAAGGGGCGAAAGCGUGACGGAGCAGCGCCGAGGGAGUGAGGAAGGUCAUCGGAUCGGAGAACUCUGUUACUAGGGAAGAAGAUAUGUGUAAGUGGCUGGGAGGAUCGUGACGGUACCUAAACAGAAAGCAACGGCUAACUACGUG